rnacentral:rRNA from 1 species
UACGAAGGGGGCGAGCGUUGUUCGGAAUUACUGGGCGUAAAGGGCGCGUAGGCGGCCGAUCAAGUCAGAUGUGAAAGUCCUGGGCUUAACCUGGGGACUGCAUUGAUACUGAUUGGCUUGAAUGCAGGAGAGGAUAGCGGAAUUCCCAGUGUAGAGGUGAAAUUCGGUAGAUAUUGGGAAGAACACCGGUGGCGAAGGCGGCUAUCUGGACUGUGAUUGACGCGUGAGGCGACCGAAAG